rnacentral:tmRNA from 1 species
GGGGGCGAACGGCAUCGACCGGAUCGCGGAUGGAUAAGAUGCGUGCCCAGGACGCCGGUUGGCCUGGUUAAUCAUCCGGUACCUAAUUUCUAAAUGGCAACUACAACUAUGCCAUGGCUGCGUAAAUAACGCGGCCCGUCCUGUCGGACUGCGCCUGCGGGUCUGACAAGGGCGUCAACAAGUGGGCUGGCUUCGUCGGUCGUCCGGGCCGACGGAGUGAGAAACACCGGACUAGCCGAUCGCAGAGCUUGUGGCUUGGCGCUGCGUGACGCGAAAUCUCCAAUAGGGCCACUACGCACGUAGAUGCUUGUCCUGAAACAUCUCGGGACGGGGGUUCGAAUCCCCCCGCCUCCACUG